rnacentral:lncRNA from 1 species
CUAAAGAUGCAAUAAGGUGACGUUGCUCAUGCCAGUAAUUAUAAUUCAUCUUGUUUUGCUUGUGCUUGUAACUACCUUAACCAAGCAACACACCAUAUGACUCCAAUGAUAAAGUUAUGUUAUGAUAAAAAAAAGUCAACGAAUCUGAUGGAAAGUCAAUGCUCUGAUGGCAACUGAGCUGUUUCAUGAUUCUGAAGGUCCAAGAAAACAUUCUAAUAUGUUGCUACUUCUUUUAAACAAGUGUACGAAAGAAGAUUUAAGGAGAAUUAUUUUCAAACGCUAUCUGGACAUUCUCACACAGAAUCAUUCUAGAAGAUUUGGUUGAAGAUUCAUAUUUGAGUUUAUCAAGCUUCAAUUGUCAUAUUCUCAAACCGUAU